GCCUGAUUAACUCAGUUGGUUAGAGUGUUGUACUAAUACGGAGAUCCUCGUCUCGUGCAUCUUGUAUGCGAAAGCCAAGAGUUCAAACCUGUUAUUGGGCA